CUAAACAUAUUACCGAAGCUGUGGAUUGUCCUUUGGACAAUGGUAGGAGAGCGUUCUAAGGGCGUUGAAGCAUGAUCGUAAGGACAUGUGGAGCGCUUAGAAGUGAGAAUGCCGGUGUGAGUAGCGAAAGACGGGUGAGAAUCCCGUCCACCGAUUGACUAAGGUUUCCAGAGGAAGGCUCGUCCGCUCUGGGUUAGUCGGGUCCUAAGCUGAGGCCGACAGGCGUAGGCGAUGGAUAACAGGUUGAUAUUCCUGUACCACCUAUAAUCGUUUUAAUCGAUGGGGGGACGCAGUAGGAUAGGCGAAGCGUGCGAUUGGAUUGCACGUCUAAGCAGUAAGGCUGAGUAUUAGGCAAAUCCGGUACUCGUUAAGGCUGAGCUGUGAUGGGGAGAAGACAUUGUGUCUUCGAGUCGUUGAUUUCACACUGCCGAGAAAAGCCUCUAGAUAGAAAAUAGGUGCCCGUACCGCAAACCGACACAGGUAGUCAAGAUGAGAAUUCUAAGGUGAGCGAGCGAACUCUCGUUAAGGAACUCGGCAAAAUGACCCCGUAACUUCGGGAGAAGGGGUGCUCUUUAGGGUUAACGCCCAGAAGAGCCGCAGUGAAUAGGCCCAAGCGACUGUUUAUCAAAAACACAGGUCUCUGCUAAACCGUAAGGUGAUGUAUAGGGGCUGACGCCUGCCCGGUGCUGGAAGGUUAAGAGGAGUGGUUAGCUUCUGCGAAGCUACGAAUCGAAGCCCCAGUAAACGGCGGCCGUAACUAUAACGGUCCUAAGGUAGCGAAAUUCCUUGUCGGGUAAGUUCCGACCCGCACGAAAGGCGUAACGAUUUGGGCACUGUCUCAACGAGAGACUCGGUGAAAUCAUAGUACCUGUGAAGAUGCAGGUUACCCGCGACAGGACGGAAAGACCCCGUGGAGCUUUACUGUAGCCUGAUAUUGAAAUUCGGCACAGCUUGUACAGGAUAGGUAGGAGCCUUUGAAACGUGAGCGCUAGCUUACGUGGAGGCGCUGGUGGGAUACUACCCUAGCUGUGUUGGCUUUCUAACCCGCACCACUUAUCGUGGUGGGAGACAGUGUCAGGCGGGCAGUUUGACUGGGGCGGUCGCCUCCUAAAAGGUAACGGAGGCGCUCAAAGGUUCCCUCAGAAUGGUUGGAAAUCAUUCAUAGAGUGUAAAGGCAUAAGGGAGCUUGACUGCGAGACCUACAAGUCGAGCAGGGUCGAAAGACGGACUUAGUGAUCCGGUGGUUCCGCAUGGAAGGGCCAUCGCU
rnacentral:rRNA from 1 species